AUGGAUUGGAGAAAAAUAUGAGUGAACAAUAGCAAAGAUCAACCUUUGGAGGAGGAAGAACCUGAUCUGGUGGCAAGAAUGGUUGCAGAAUCUGGUGAAAGAAUCUGGUGGGAUCCAACAGUCCCACAAACUAAAUAGCUGCAGGAAAAUAUAAAUGAAGAUACAAUCUUGCAGAGCCAAUAUGAAACUGGUUGCUCGUAUAUCAUUUUGCGGGUGGUUCCCUACAUUCAACCAUGGUUUCAAUGAAGACGCUGUCUUGACCAGAAGAUGAGGCUUCCGGGUCAUUAUCUGACAUGAAGCAGCUUAUGGACACAGAUAAUAAAAACAGGCAGAGCAUCAAUCCGAUUGUCAUGGCCAUCUUAAUUUUUUUACCUGGCAGAUGGCCCAGUAUACAGAGCAGUA